UUCCGGUUGAUCCUGCCGGAAGCGACCGCUUUGGGAGUUCGAUUAAGCCAUGCGAGUCGUGAGUCUUAGGGACUCGGCAUACUGCUCAGUAACACGUGGAUAACCUGCCCUAUCGUCUGGAAUAACCUCGGGAAACUGAGAAUAAGGCCGGAUAGUUCACAAUGCCUGGAACGGUUUGUGAAUCAAGGUAGGAUGGGUCUGCGGCGUAUCAGGUUGUAGGGGGUGUAAAGGACCCCCUAGCCUUCGACGCGUACGGGUGUUGGGAGACAUAGCCCGGAGAUGGAUUCUGAGACACGAAUCCAGACCCUACGGGGUGCAGCAGGCGCGAAAACUUCACACUGCAGGAAACUGUGAUGAGGGAACUCCUAGUGCAUGCACUAUGUGUAUGUAGAUCCUACUCUUAACAAGUAGAGGGAAAGGGCUGGGAAAGACCGGUGUCAGCCGCCGCGGUAAUACCGGCAGCUCAAGUGGUCGUCGCUUUUAUUGGGCCUAAAACGUCCGUAGCCUGUUUGGUAAAUCUGUGGGUAAAUCAAUCCGCUCAACGGAUUGAAUUCUGCAGAGACUGCCAGACUAGGGACCGGGAGAGGUGUGGGGUACUCGAGGGGUAAGGGUAAAAUCCUGUCAUCCUUCGAGGACCACCAGUUGCGAAGGCGCCACACUGGAACGGAUCCGACGGUCAGGGACGAAGCCUAGGGGCACGAACCGGGAUUAGUACCGGGUAGUCCUAAGUGUAAACGCUGUGACUUGGUGUCGGGGGUCCGCAAGGGGUCCCCGGUGCCGAAUGAACUGUUUACUUCCCUGCU
rnacentral:rRNA from 1 species